AGUAGCAUAUCAAUAAGCGGAGGAAAAGAAACCAACAGGGAUUGCCUCAGUAACGGCGAGUGAAGCGGCAACAGCUCAAAUUUGAAAUCUGGCCCCCCUCUGGGGGGUCCGAGUUGUAAUUUGCAGAGGGCGCUUUGGCAUCGGCGGCGGUCUAAGUUCCUUGGAACAGGACAUCGCAGAGGGUGAGAAUCCCGUACGUGGGCGCCUGCCUUUGCCGUGUAAAGCCCCUUCGACGAGUCGAGUUGUUUGGGAAUGCAGCUCUAAAUGGGAGGUAAAUUUCUUCUAAAGCUAAAUACCGGCCAGAGACCGAUAGCGCACAAGUAGAGUGAUCGAAAGAUGAAAAGUACUUUGGAAAGAGAGUCAAAUAGCACGUGAAAUUGUUGAAAGGGAAGCGCUUGCAGCCAGACGUGCGCGCGGUUGCUCACCCCGGCUCUCGCCUGGGGCACUCUUCCGCGCGCAGGCCAGCAUCAGUUCGGGCGGUCGGAUAAAGGCCUCUGUCAAGUACCUUCCCCCGGGAAGGCCUUAUAGGGGAGGCGCAAUGCGACCAGCCCGGACUGAGGUCCGCGCAUCUGCUAGGAUGCUGGCGUAAUGGCUGUAAGCGGCCCGUCUUGAAACACGGACCAAGGAGUCUAACAUCUAUGCGAGUGUUUGGGUGUCAAGCCCGGGCGCGCAAUGAAAGUGAACGGAGGUGGGAUCCCCUUCCGGGGUGCACCAUCGACCGAUCCUGAUGUCUUCGGAUGGAUUUGAGUAAGAGCAUAGCUGUUGGGACCCGAAAGAUGGUGAACUAUGCUUGAAUAGGGUGAAGCCAGAGGAAACUCUGGUGGAGGCUCGCAGCGGUUCUGACGUGCAAAUCGAUCGUCAAAUUUGGGCAUAGGGGCGAAAGACUAAUCGAACCAUCUAGUAGCUGGUUCCUGCCGAUCU
rnacentral:rRNA from 1 species